GUGAGCAUAGUUUAGCGAAAACGUUAGAUUGUGAUUCUAAAGUCAAGGGUGAAAAUCCCUUUGCCCACC
rnacentral:tRNA from 1 species